AUGUGCGCCGCGGGCGAGCGCUGCGAGCUGUGCGGCGCGGGGGCGGACGUGCACUGCCGGGCCGACGCGGCGUUCCUCUGCUGGCCGUGCGACGCCGAGGUGCACGGCGCCAACACCCUCGCGUCCCGCCACCGCCGCACGCGCGUCUCGCAGUCCAGGGGCGUCGUUCGCGUGCGCUGCGAGGUGGCGCUCGAGGGCUGGGCCCGGCGGAUGGGCCUCGAGGAGGGGGCGGCGCACCGGUGUGCCGAGGCGGCCGCGCGCGUGAUCCGGACCGAGGUCGCCGUGGCGGCGCCGCGCAUGCCGCUGCUCGUCGCGAUGGCGGCCGCGCUGUGGUGGGAGGUGGCGGCUCACGGCGUCCACGAGCCUGAGGACGCGCUCCAGCGCUUGGAGGCCAGUGCGCACGUGCCGGCAAGGCUGCUUGUGGCGGUGGCAGCGGCGAUCGGGCGCGCGCGCGCCAGGAAGAGGACGGCCGCAGUGAACGCCUAG
rnacentral:rRNA from 1 species